CUACGCACUCCUACGGGAGGCAGCAGUGGGGAAUAUUGCACAAUGGGCGCAAGCCUGAUGCAGCCAUGCCGCGUGUAUGAAGAAGGCCUUCGGGUUGUAAAGUACUUUCAGCAGUGAGGUAAGGUGGGUAUGUUAAUAGCAUAUUCAUUUGACGUUAGCUGCAGAAGAAGCACCGGCUAACUCCGUGCCAGCAGCCGCGGUAAUACGGAGGGUGCGAGCGUUAAUCGGAAUUACUGGGCGUAAAGCGCAUGCAGGUGGUUUGUUAAGUCAGAUGUGAAAGCCCGGGGCUCAACCUCGGAAUUGCAUUUGAAACUGGCAAACUAGAGUACUGUAGAGGGGGUAGAAUUUCAGGUGUAGCGGUGAAAUGCGUAGAGAUCUGAAGGAAUACCGGUGGCGAAGGCGGCCCCCUGGACAGAUACUGACACUCAGAUGCGAAAGCGUGGGGAGCAAACAGGAUUAGAUACCCUGGUAG
rnacentral:rRNA from 1 species